AGACAGAGUACCCUGCCUAUCUAUACAGAGGAGAAACCUGCACUAUGC
rnacentral:tRNA from 1 species